rnacentral:rRNA from 1 species
GUGCAGCAGGCGAGAACCUUCGCAAUGCGGGAAACCGCGACGAGGGACUCCCAGUGCCUACGCUCAGCGUAGGCUGUUCCCGAGCCUAGAAAGCUCGGGGAGUAAGGGCUGGGUAAGACGGGUGCCAGCCGCCGCGGUAAUACCCGCAGCCCGAGUGGUGGCCACUAUUAUUGGGCCUAAAGCGUCCGUAGCCGGCCCGGUAAAUGCCUGGGUAAAUCGUGAGGCCUAACCUCACGAAUUCCGGGUAGACUGCCGGGCUAGGGGACCGGAGGAGGGAGAGGGUACUCCAGGGGUAGGGGUGGAAAUCCUGUAAUCCCUGGAGGACCACCGGUGGCGAAGGCGCUCUCCUAGGACGGGUCCGACGGUGAGGGACGAAAGCCAGGGGAGCGAACCGGAUUAGAUA